rnacentral:rRNA from 1 species
UACGUAGGGGGCGAGCGUUGUCCGAAGUUACUGGGCGUAAAGCGCGCGUAGGCGGGCUGAUAAGUCGGAAGUGAAAGGCUGUGGCUCAACCACAUGCAGUGCUCCCGAUACUGUCAUGUCUUGAGUGAGGCAGAGAGAAGUGGAAUGGCUGGUGUAGCGGUGAAAUGCGUAGAUAUCAGUCGGAACACCGGUGGCGAAGGCGGCUUCUUGGGCCUUAACUGACGCUGAUGCGCGAAAGCCAGGGGAGCGAACGGG